rnacentral:lncRNA from 1 species
AUGCUUGUGUGUCUGCCUCUCAGCUAUUCUUCAAGCUCCCAAGGUUUGGCUCAGGGUUGUAAAAUAAUAUUAAGUUCUGACAGUGUAAGAAGUGUGCCCGGAAAAAAAAUAACCAGAGCAGGAAGGAGAAGAAAAGCAUGAGAAGAGUGCAGAUGAGUUUUGCAGCUGGUUUUGCAUUAGAAGGGGAACAUUAGCAUUAGACACAGGAAAACGUCGGCUGCGGAGCCCAAGUUUCCUUCACACAAAGGUCACCAGCUCUUCACUGUGAAUAAACUCAUGUUGCAGGUAUGAUGUUGCUUAUGCAGUUUCUCGUUCCUCCAUACUAAAAGGUUUUCAGCUUGGCAGCAUUUUCCCCUGCACUAAUCCAACUCUCCUUGGAAAAUGUCAUCCCGCUUGAAUUUUCAUAGCUCUGUCCUCACUCAGGCACCUGGGAUUUCCGGAUCAAAGCUGCCAAUCCAGUGAAACUAGGCACCAGUAUGUGUGGGAGAAGUAGUUCAUUACUGUGGUCACCCAAGUGGGUUAAUUUCAAACAAACGUCAAGAGGUUUCUUUUCUGCCCAUUUUCCUCGGUUUACUUUUUUUCUACAUAGGCAAGGAAGUCUAUCUCUGGCAGUCUUUAUUGGUGAGUAAGUUGGACAGUUCACAUCAGUCCCUCAUUCAGAAAAGGACUCAAGGUGUAGCUGCCCUUUUGCAAGGAAUGGAAGAGAUAUGGUGGGAUACCGAUGGGAACUGUCAGGUCACUAUGUGCAUCAUCCCUGUAGAAAGGACUGUCAGAUAAACUGUGGAAGGAAAUUACCACUUCCCGAGCUUCCAUUCUAUGCCAAGCUCUUCAUAGGCAUAAGAAGCUAAACAAAUUGCCUAAUGAUAAAGAGCAAA